GACGAACGCUGGCGGCGUGCUUAACACAUGCAAGUCGAACGGAAAGGCCCUGCUUUUGUGGGGGGCUCGAGUGGCGAACGGGUGAGUAACACGUGAGUAACCUGCCCUUGACUGUGGGAUAACGUCAGGAAACUGGGGCUAAUACCGGAUAGGAGCUCCUGCUGCAUGGUGGGGGUUGGAAAGUUUCGGCGGUUGGGGAUGGACUCGCGGCUUAUCAGCUUGUUGUUGGGGUAGUGGCUUACCAAGGCUUUGACGGGUAGCCGGCCUGAGAGGGUGACCGGCCACAUUGGGACUGAGAUACGGCCCAGACUCCUACGGGAGGAAGCAGUGGGGAAUAUUGCACAAUGGGCGGAAGCCUGAUGCAGCAACGCCGCGUGCGGGAUGACGGCCUUCGGGUUGUAAACCGCUUUCGCCUGUGACGAAGAGUGAGUGACGGUAAUGGGUAAAGAAGCACCGGCUAACUACGUG
rnacentral:rRNA from 1 species